rnacentral:rRNA from 1 species
GACGAACGCUGGCGGCGUGCUUAACACAUGCAAGUCGAGCGGUAAGGCCCUUUCGGGGGUACACGAGCGGCGAACGGGUGAGUAACACGUGGGUGACCUGCCCUCAGCUCUGGGAUAAGCCUGGGAAACCGGGUCUAAUACUGGAUAUGACUCCAUGACGCAUGUUGUGGGGUGGAAAGCCUUGUGCGGCUGAGGAUGGGCCCGCGGCCUAUCAGCUUGGUUGGUGGGGUGAGGCCUACCAAGGCGACGACGGGUAGCCGGCCUGAGAGGGGCGACCCGGCCACACUGGGACUGAGACACGGCCCAGACU